rnacentral:rRNA from 1 species
UACGGGGGGGGCAAGCGUUGUUCGGAAUUACUGGGCGUAAAGGGCUCGUAGGCGGCCAACUAAGUCGGACGUGAAAUCCCCAGGCUCAACCUGGGAACUGCGUCCGAUACUGGAUGGCUUGAAUUCGGGAGAGGGAUGCAGAAUUCCAGGUGUAGCGGUGAAAUGCGCAGAUAUCAGGAGGAACACCGGUGGCGAAGGCGGGUCUCUGGGCCGAUACUGACGCUGAGGAGCGAAAGCGUGGGGAGCGAACAGG